rnacentral:rRNA from 2 species
GGCGCGGAGGGGCGGAAAGGGAAUACUAAGAGGAGUGGUAAAUGGUGAGUAACACGUGGGAAACCUGCCCAGAAGCGGGGGAUAACACCUGGAAACAGAUGCUAAUACCGCAUAACAACUUGGACCGCAUGGUCCGAGUUUGAAAGAUGGCUUCGGCUAUCACUUUUGGAUGGUCCCGCGGCGUAUUAGCUAGAUGGUGGGGUAACGGCUCACCAUGGCAAUGAUACGUAGCCGACCUGAGAGGGUAAUCGGCCACAUUGGGACUGAGACACGGCCCAAACUCCUACGGGAGGCAGCAGUAGGGAAUCUUCCACAAUGGACGAAAGUCUGAUGGAGCAACGCCGCGUGAGUGAAGAAGGGUUUCGGCUCGUAAAACUCUGUUGUUAAAGAAGAACAUAUCUGAGAGUAACUGUUCAGGUAUUGACGGUAUUUAACCAGAAAGCCACGGCUAACUACGUGCCAGCAGCCGCGGUAAUACGUAGGUGGCAAGCGUUGUCCGGAUUUAUUGGGCGUAAAGCGAGCGCAGGCGGUUUUUUAAGUCUGAUGUGAAAGCCUUCGGCUCAACCGAAGAAGUGCAUCGGAAACUGGGAAACUUGAGUGCAGAAGAGGACAGUGGAACUCCAUGUGUAGCGGUGAAAUGCGUAGAUAUAUGGAAGAACACCAGUGGCGAAGCGCUGUCUGGUCUGUAACUGACGCUGAGGCUCGAAAGUAUGGGUAGCAAACAGAUAGAUACCCUGGUAGUCCAUACCGUAACGAUGAAUGCUAAGUGUGAAGGGUUUCCGCCCUUCAGUGCUGCAGCUAACGCAUUAAGCAUUCCGCCUGGGGAGUACGGCCGCAAGGCUGAAACUCAAAGGAAUUGACGGGGGCCGCCAA